rnacentral:rRNA from 1 species
UACGUAGGGGGCAAGCGUUGUCCGGAUUUAUUGGGCGUAAAGAGCGUGUAGGCGGCCAUACAGGUCAGCUGUGAAAACUCGAGGCUCAACCUCGAGACGUCGGUUGAAACCGUAUGGCUAGAGUCCGGAAGAGGAGAGUGGAAUUCCCGGUGUAGCGGUGAAAUGCGCAGAUAUCGGGAAGAACACCCGUGGCGAAAGCGGCUUCCUGGUCCGACACCGACGUUCAGGCACGAAAGCGUGGGGAGCAAACAGG